GCACUCUUUAUAAAUAUUUGUAAAAUUUGGAUCGUCCUUGUAUCGAUCUAUAAUCAACUCAAAUCUCAUUAGUUUAGCAUUAAGCAAUGAAAUCAAAGCAUACCUCCUGAAAAGUGCAUCAGCUACGAUAUUGACAUUUUCUUUUUUGUAUUUGAUCACAUAAGGAAAGAUUUUCAAGAAUUUCAUCCACUUGGUAUGUCUA
rnacentral:lncRNA from 1 species